UGCAAGUCGAACGAACUUCCGUUAAUUGAUUAUGACGUACUUGUACUGAUUGAGAUUUUAACACGAAGUGAGUGGCGAACGGGUGAGUAACACGUGGGUAACCUGCCCAGAAGUAGGGGAUAACACCUGGAAACAGAUGCUAAUACCGUAUAACAGAGAAAACCGCAUGGUUUUCUUUUAAAAGAUGGCUCUGCUAUCACUUCUGGAUGGACCCGCGGCGUAUUAGCUAGUUGGUGAGGUAAAGGCUCACCAAGGCAGUGAUACGUAGCCGACCUGAGAGGGUAAUCGGCCACAUUGGGACUGAGACACGGCCCAGACUCCUACGGGAGGCAGCAGUAGGGAAUCUUCCACAAUGGACGCAAGUCUGAUGGAGCAACGCCGCGUGAGUGAAGAAGGGUUUCGGCUCGUAAAGCUCUGUUGUUAAAGAAGAACGUGGGUAAGAGUAACUGUUUACCCAGUGACGGUAUUUAACCAGAAAGCCACGGCUAACUACGUGCCAGCAGCCGCGGUAAUACGUAGGUGGCAAGCGUUAUCCGGAUUUAUUGGGCGUAAAGCGAGCGCAGGCGGUCUUUUAAGUCUAAUGUGAAAGCCUUCGGCUCAACCGAAGAAGUGCAUUGGAAACUGGGAGACUUGAGUGCAGAAGAGGACAGUGGAACUCCAUGUGUAGCGGUGAAAUGCGUAGAUAUAUGGAAGAACACCAGUGGCGAAGGCGGCUGUCUGGUCUGCAACUGACGCUG
rnacentral:rRNA from 1 species